rnacentral:lncRNA from 1 species
CCAUCGUAAACCUAACUGGUUGCCGGCGAACGGCGUAAAACACCGGGCAUCUUCUUCUUCAUCGUAUUCUCCCUUCAUCUUUUGAGGUAAGCUUGUGAUUAUGAGUUUCUUCUCUGACUUAGCUUGUAAUUAUAGAUUUUGAUUUUUUUUUUUAAAUUCGUAUUGUAGCCAUUAUUGUCAAUUUUUGUCCCGCCAGCAAUAUUUUUUUAUUCCUACAAGUUGAAGCCCCUGUGUUCUUGUUCCAUUGGUGAGUUUGCUCACUCAAAUUAAUUUUGUUCUGCGGAAUUUACAAAGUUCAAAUGGAUUCAUUUGAAUUACUAUUGAAUUUAGCUUUAAUUCCAACAUCCAUUCUAAUGUUUUGCUAUUAGAUUUAGUUUAAUUUUAUGUUUAAAGCAUCUACAAUGAAUAGCGGAGCUUGGGUUUUAGUUUCAUUUUCUGGAUAACUUGUUUUAGUUUAUCUUGUAUGCUCACCAAGUGCUUGUUAUAUUGUCUGAUAAGUUAUAUACAUUGCUGAUUCUAUAUUAAUAAUGUUACGUUCUAUUUUCAGAAAUUAUAAUACAAAAGUUUUUACAAUGGCGUGCAUCUACAAACUGAAUUGACUUGUAGAAUAAGAGCUUGCAGUAAAUGAAAGUUCAUAUUGUGUAAGAGCAUGGAGAUGUAAAGCAUCAUUACCAUAUCUACAAAGUGCUUUCAUUAUGGUCAGAUGCUCUUCUUGAACUUUGAAAGGUGCCUCGUUCAAGUCCUAGCUAUAACUACUAGCUUUGAUUAAUUAAGUUCCAAUACUAGCUGAAACAGAUUUAUUUAAUUAAUUAAUUGUGUAUAUACUAAUUAUAUUGAAAGUAUAUGAAACUUUUUUUUUUUUUAAACAUGAAUGACUUCUAAAUGACUUAAAAACCUAAAGGAUGUGUGAAAUAAUGCUCAUUUCACUUGAAUGAGCCUAUUAAUACUUUCUAUGAUUGUCAAUAUUGGCUUAAGCAUUUCAGUUAAGUGGUUUACCUAACAGAGAAAAAAAUUUAAUAGAAAACUUCAGAGUUCUAACAGAAAUAUAGUUCACUCUGCAGAUAUAGUUAUUUUACGGUAUACAAAUUAAGUUGUCCUAAUCUCAAUGUCCUGUGACCGAUUUUAUUUUAUAUAGUCAUUAAUUUUUGCCAUGGUUUUUUGUGUUUAUGAGUAUGAAAUAGUGGGAUUUGGUGUACCUUAGCAUCUUUUGAAAAUUCUCUUUAAGUAUGGCCAACAGAAAUAUACAUAUAAUCAAGUUUCUUAAUUGUGUAUAUUAGUUUUGGGUACGAAUGUUCCUAUUCUAGUUCUAGACAAAGCUUCUUUGUUUUGGUCUUCAGAUUUCCAGUAGGUUAAGUUAAUCAACUAUCAUAACUGGCUAGCUACUUAUUGUCUGCCUUGGCGCCAUUACCCAGGCCAUUAUAUUGCAUAGCAUAAGGAAUAGUGAUUAGGUGAUUAUUAGUGAUUUGUUGAGCUUAUUAUUGACCAAACAAACAUAUUCGCCUUUGCCCACAACCUAGUUUGAUUAGUUUUAGACCACAAAGAGCCUUGAUCUAUUCAUUGGCUUUAUUAUUUUUAUUUGGUUUUUCUUUCAACAAUAUUUUUGAUUUCUUAUAAAAAUAUUCAUUGGUUUUUAAACACCUAGUCAUUGGCUAUAUGAAGCAAAUUAAAACUGAGGCUUUGGAUCAAUUUCUUCUAACAAGAUACAAAUGAGCAUAACCUUUCUCCUCUAAGUAAUUUUUUUUAAUAUCCUUGAUUUGUAAGGAUCUGGAGGCCUGAAAUCCUCUAGAUUUUUUUUAACACUGUCAAUGUCCUUUUUAUUCUGAAAAGGAAAUAAAAGGUUUUAUCUUUCAUACCCUAAUAGUAGGCUGGCCUUGUCUUAACAUGGCUUCUUGAGGAUUUGCAAGAUUCAUAGUUCCCCCAACACACGCCCCCCAAAAAAAAAGAAGAAAAAGAAAGAAAAAAGAAAAAAGGAAGAUUUUGCAAGAUUCACCACCAGUUUUUUUUUUUAAUUUAUUAAUUGUGUGUACGUACUAGUUAUAUGUUGAAAGAAUAGGCAGAAGUAUUUCAACAUGAAUGACAUAAAACUUAUUGCUCAGUAAACAUAAUCUGCAUCAGUGGGAAAAUGUAUUUAUCGUUUGUAUUUUUUAUGGUUUUGCUUAAGAAAUGAUAUGUGAAAUAAUGCUACAUUGUAUCAGGAAUAAAUUGAAGAGAUUUAUGAUAUUUAUGUGUUAUUCAAAUUUCAGAUUCAAUUUUAAACUUUUGAUACGUGCAUUGAAAGCUUAGACUUGUUUAAGAAAUUAUUAAUAGACACAUGUUGUAUUAGUGUCAUCUUUGGAUGAUAGUGAGGAUCAUAUGUCUAUUAAUAAUUCUUGAAUUGUCCAGGCUUGGACAGUUUGGGAAUGCAUAGUUCUCUCUGGUAGCUAGUAGCUGAAGUUUUCUUCCCACGUAAAAAUGGCUUUUUCGGUAGCUGCUCCUCGUGUUCUCUGGGUACGUACUAGGUGAAUGGGUGUCAUGUGUUGUUUUGGCAUAACGCAUAAACACUUAUAUAGCUUUGUCGUGAGCUUGGAGAAUUAUAGGGAGAUGGUGCUGAAAUUUUUAUAAACGUAGAAGAAAACUUUAGGUACUUGAGAUUGAAAAAACAUAUGCAUUCUUGAGUGGGAUAUGUAGGAUUUAUCACUUACCUUUGGUAAAUAUGAAGGGAAUGUUGACUCCUUGAAAUAUGCCCAAACCCAUGGAGUAUCUAAAUAAGUCUGAAAACCAAACACUGUUACCUACUAGACGACAAAGCAGAAAAAUUUUCUUGACUCGCUCACCUUUUAAAUAAUUGAAACUCAGCUCAAUACUUGAAUAAGUUUCUGCAGGCACAUCUUCGAAGUUUACCAUUGAAGGCGUUCGGAGCUCUCGC